GCGCCCGUAGCUCAGCUGGAUAGAGCAGCAGAUUCCUAAUCUGCAGGUCGUGGGUUCAAAUCCCGCCGGGCGCACCA
rnacentral:tRNA from 1 species